rnacentral:rRNA from 1 species
GAGUUUGAUCAUGGCUCAGAUUGAACGCUGGCGGCAGGCCUAACACAUGCAAGUCGAACGGUAACAGGAAGAAGCUUGCUUCUUUGCUGACGAGUGGCGGACGGGUGAGUAAUGUCUGGGAAACUGCCUGAUGGAGGGGGAUAACUACUGGAAACGGUAGCUAAUACCGCAUAACGUCGCAAGACCAAAGAGGGGGACCUUCGGGCCUCUUGCCAUCGGAUGUGCCCAGAUGGGAUUAGCUAGUAGGUGGGGUAACGGCUCACCUAGGCGACGAUCCCUAGCUGGUCUGAGAGGAUGACCAGCCACACUGGAACUGAGACACGGUCCAGACUCCUACGGGAGGCAGCAGUGGGGAAUAUUGCACAAUGGGCGCAAGCCUGAUGCAGCCAUGCCGCGUGUAUGAAGAAGGCCUUCGGGUUGUAAAGUACUUUCAGCGGGGAGGAAGGGAGUAAAGUUAAUACCUUUGCUCAUUGACGUUACCCGCAGAAGAAGCACCGGCUAACUCCGUGCCAGCAGCCGCGGUAAUACGGAGGGUGCAAGCGUUAAUCGGAAUUACUGGGCGUAAAGCGCACGCAGGCGGUUUGUUAAGUCAGAUGUGAAAUCCCCGGGCUCAACCUGGGAACUGCAUCUGAUACUGGCAAGCUUGAGUCUCGUAGAGGGGGGUAGAAUUCCAGGUGUAGCGGUGAAAUGCGUAGAGAUCUGGAGGAAUACCGGUGGCGAAGGCGGCCCCCUGGACGAAGACUGACGCUCAGGUGCGAAAGCGUGGGGAGCAAACAGGAUUAGAUACCCUGGUAGUCCACGCCGUAAACGAUGUCGACUUGGAGGUUGUGCCCUUGAGGCGUGGCUUCCGGAGCUAACGCGUUAAGUCGACCGCCUGGGGAGUACGGCCGCAAGGUUAAAACUCAAAUGAAUUGACGGGGGCCCGCACAAGCGGUGGAGCAUGUGGUUUAAUUCGAUGCAACGCGAAGAACCUUACCUGGUCUUGACAUCCACGGAAGUUUUCAGAGAUGAGAAUGUGCCUCCGGGAACCGUGAGACAGGUGCUGCAUGGCUGUCGUCAGCUCGUGUUGUGAAAUGUUGGGUUAAGUCCCGCAACGAGCGCAACCCUUAUCCUUUGUUGCCAGCGGUCCGGCCGGGAACUCAAAGGAGACUGCCAGUGAUAAACUGGAGGAAGGUGGGGAUGACGUCAAGUCAUCGUGGCCCUUACGACCAGGGCUACACACGUGCUACAAUGGCGCAUACAAAGAGAAGCGACCUCGCGAGAGCAAGCGGACCUCAUAAAGUGCGUCGUAGUCCGGAUUGGAGUCUGCAACUCGACUCCAUGAAGUCGGAAUCGCUAGUAAUCGUGGAUCAGAAUGCCACGGUGAAUACGUUCCCGGGCCUUGUACACACCGCCCGUCACACCAUGGGAGUGGGUUGCAAAAGAAGUAGGUAGCUUAACCUUCGGGAGGGCGCUUACCACUUUGUGAUUCAUGACUGGGGUGAAGUCGUAACAAGGUA